ACACACAUCCCGCCGGGAGCCGCCGCGGGGCGGGGAGCCCCGCAAAACCCGGCGCGGAGCCCACCGCGCCGCCCGCACCCCCCGGUGGCGCUGAGCCGUCGUCCCUGUAUUUUCUUACUUACCCACUGGGGUACCAUGAGAAUGGCUUGGUUAAUGUUUAUAUAAAGCGUGGUGAAGACGUAAAAACACGUGUAAGUACUCGGGAUAACGAUGACCCGCUGAAGCACCGGCUGUUAAAGUUGGAGUGUUCAAGUAACUCUGUGUGUGCGUGCGUGUGUGCGUGUGUGUGUGUAGCAAGCAAGCAAGCAAGCAAGCAAAAAAAGGGUUGAUGAAAGUUUGGAGCUGGACGCAGCAACACAAUAUGGGAAAUGGACCCAAUAAUGGCAUGGAAAGUCAUGGCUUCACCAAAAUUGCUGUAUGUCACAUUGGAGCUAACUGUCUUAAAACUUGCAGAAGUUUAACUUACAGAGUGGAAGACAUGCCCUUCUUCAAUAACCCUCCAACGGCAGGAGAUCAGUUGAUCAGAAGGGGAGAAUGCUUCGCCACACUGAAUACAUAGCUGAGUGAGUUUUAGCCCAGGCAUGCUGUCUUGCAAGCUAUGUAUCCGAAACACCAAGCUUUGAAACUCCUGGCAUGGAUGCUUCUGGAUCAGCUAUGUGCAAACAUAACUCCAAGGUCAAGUGACGUCUGAGUCAGCCUUUGGGCUAGCAGCACACUCCAUAUCACUGGACUCCAGUGCCCUGCUAAAGUCAAUGGAAAAAUGUGAAGUUCCUAUCUGAAUGGGUACUCUUGAAGGAUUAUUCCCAAUGAGUAUGUGCUGAAUCAGACCCUCACUCUACAAAAUCUACAGAUCAUCUACUGCACCUCCUUUAAAAUUCCAUGCUUACCUGACACUGCAGAAGAAGUGAAUAAUCUUUUUACCUACAAAUUGUAAGACUAAGGAGGUGGAUAAACUUAGUUUGGUUUUAGAUAAUUCUAACAGAACCUUUACUGUUAUUAUAAAUAUUUUUAUAAUCUCUUUGUUUUAGCGCCAUUGCUUAUUAAUAUAUUCAAAAUACUCAAAAUAUUGUUAUUGUAGUGCCCAAGAACCCCAUUCAGGAUUAGAUCUCAUAAAAUAAUAGAUCAUGCAAUUACAUCAAAACUGUGGGUCAUCUCCCCUAGUUUUUUUAAGCACAAUCUCACUUCCAUAUUUAUGCUGGGUUUAAGUUAACACUGUUUCCACUGGUUUCAUUUUUGGCUGUUGCAGAGGAACACAAACACUCCUUUGGAAGUCAGAUACACCCCACUAUUACUGGAUUUAUGUCAUAGAUAAGAAACCUACAGUUUAAACUGAAUAAACUGUUAGUCAUACAAUUUCUUUAUGCUGGACAUAAGCUAAGUCAAUCAUUAUGUCUGCUACA